rnacentral:rRNA from 1 species
GCCGGUAGCGACUGCGGAGAUCAUUAUUGAACUUCGAGGGGGGAAAAGGGGUUAGACUUGAGACUGUCGCUGGCCCCUCCAGGCAUGUGCACGUCUCGACCCCCUUCUUCUCUCGUUACACACACACACCUGUGCACCAUUUGUAGGCCCUCGAAAAGAGGGUCUACGUUUUUCACAAUCCACACCCUAUCGUAUGUCUACAGAAUGUAUUGAGGAUGGCAAUAAAUCAUACAACUUUCAGCAACGGAUCUCUUGGCUCUCGCAUCGAUGAAGAACGCAGCGAAUUGCGAUAAGUAAUGUGAAUUGCAGAUUUUCAGUGAAUCAUCGAAUCUUUGAACGCACCUUGCGCUCCUUGGUAUUCCGAGGAGCAUGCCUGUUUGAGUGUCAUCGAAUUCUCAACCAUGCUCUUUUUCUUCUUUGGAGCAUGGCUUGGAGUUGGGGGGUUGCUGGCAGCGAAAGUGUUGUCGGCUCUCCUGAAAUGCAUUAGCAAAAGGGGGUGGGCGAGUCUUUGACGUGCACGGCCUUCGGCGUGAUAAUGAUCGUCGUGGCUGGAGCGUCGGACAAGCAAUGAAUCCGUCCCUGCUUCCAAUGUUUCACUAGCUCAAGUCGGGUCGAGGGGGGGUUUGCUUUUAGUUAGCUACUAGUCGGUCGCGAGGCCGACGAACGCUCGCAGGCAGCUUUGCUCGGCUUCGGCUUUUGUCUUUUGUCACCCUUCGAAACUUGACCUCAAAUCAGGUAGGACUACCCGCUGAACUUAAGCAUAUCAAAAAACCGGGGAGAAA